AAAGAGUUCUCUACAGAAGAGGUUAGUAAUAAUAAAUAAAUAUUCCUCACCAGUUCUCUUGUGUUUUACUCACUUGCUUUUACCCUUUGAUAUUCUCACGCACUUUUGUUUUUUAUCUUUCUAUCUCCCAUCCUCAAGUUGAAUGACAGAUAGAUCCUCUCGAAUUAAAAUAUUUUCAAGUAUUAUUUUAAGACACCGCUAUGAGUCCUAUAAAACAAAUAUCGUACUAAUACUAACAGCAAGAGUAUAACACACAGAGGAGAUGGUAGUGUAUGAUAUUACACUAAGGUUUAAGAUGCAAUUUAAAUGUUUAGAUAUAUCAGAGAACUAAAACUU
rnacentral:lncRNA from 1 species